CAGGAGAGAGAGCAUGUGGGGCUUUGCCAGAGAGGAACUUGGAUGGCAAUCACCUAAGAACUCCAAACUCAGUGCCAGGGCAGACUGGUGUCUAUUUUGGAAUGUCUUCCAGUAGUUGAUAACUUUCUACUUUUAAAAUAAUUGGAAGAAUGUAAGCUCUCAACUAGUCCACUAGUCCCGAAACAAUAGAUACCAGCUGGCAGAGAUAAUAGCUGUCUGGAAGAGAGAGAUACAUACCACAUCAAAAAACAACAAAAAAAGGAUGGCUCAAGUACUCAAAAGGCAGCACUAAAAUAAGGCUAUGUCUCUUCCUGAGAAUACUCUGGACUUCAUUCUCUGAUUAAAGAUCACAACUGCUUCUUCGUUGAGGAAAUCAUGUAUUUCAAAGCCACCAAUGAACAAGGUAAUGGGAUGUAUUGGUCCAGCACUGAUAACAGGUUAUCCUACAAUCAAGUAUACUCUUUCCAGAAAGCUGAGUUAGGUAUGCAACUGCCUUUCUAAGCCAUGACUACAUUGCUAAAUGAAUCAUUGAUUUGGAAAAUCUGAAGUGACCUUCAGCUUGUUCUCCAGCUCUUCCUCAACAGAAAAGAGAGGCAAAAUCAGCAAAAUAUUGGAAAGAGGUAGUUUUUCUAAAGGUAUUUGUGGCAGGUAGAAGAUUGGAGGCCACUCAGCUAUGUGUGUAAGUGUGUGCAGGGAGAAAUUAGGUUCUAUAUUCAGAAGUGACAUUCUUUGUAUUUUCAGUGUGGCUCUAAAAACAGAGCCUUUUUCUUAUAGUUCAGAGUCAGACACUGCCCUUGGCUUCUCAGCCAUUCUAGUAAACUAUUUGUUACUCAGAAAGCCUCAAAUUCUUCAUUGAAUUUAUUUGGACCAGUUUUUGUGCACUUACCUCGUUGGCAUGGUAAUAGUCUUUUGAAUAACCAAUACUGUGAACAAUUAUACAAUUAAAAAUUCUACUUCCAUUAUUAUUCUUAACUUCUCCCUUUAUAUUUUGUUACAGUUAUGAGGUAUGUUUUAUUAACUAUUCUAGACAUAGAUCUAGCCCUGCAUUUACUCAGCACUGCCUUGCUCCUUUUCAUGAGGGGUGAUCUAGUUAGACAUAUCAAUAUUCAAUGAAAUGUAUAGAUUACCCUGAUAAAAUGGCUCAAUGAAGUUCAUGUAAGGUCAAUGGAAGAUUGAGGCAUCAUAUGCACUGAGCCACUAAUUGGUCUCAUACUAGUAGGAUAUAGCUAUCCCCACCCCCUAUAUCUUGAGUCUCCUUCCUCUUAGGUGCUGAGCAUUUCCAAAGGCUUCUCUAGCUGAAGCAGGUAUAAGAAAAUGAAGUGACAUAAAGCAUCAACCCUUAGGUAUAAAUGAUUGGCAAGUCUCAACCUUGCUAAAACUGAGACUUUUCAAUUAGCUAUGCUUAAAAGUUUCUACUGAAUUACUGAAGCCAUAAUUAUGUAUGUAAUUCAAGUUUCCUUUGAGCUGACCUACAAUGAAAGAAGUUACCUAAAUGACCUCUUAGGUCCUUUUCUCUCUCCAGCAAUCAUGGAUACUUUACGAAUCUCAUAAGGAGUACAGCUCAUUUAUUAUUAACACCAUUUUAGAAUGAAGGAAGAAGAGGCUUAGAAAGGUUUAGUAGCAGAGAAGAGAGCAGCCUUCUGAUUUGUGGGUUCCACAUUCUGGAUGCAGAAAACUUUCAGUCAUUCUUAUCUAUUGUGAGGCUUGUACCAGUUUCUCCAUAAACUUACAAAACCAAACCAUUUUGACAAGCUUUGUUCCUGCCUCUGACUUCUUUCAGAUAGUGGCUAACCAUCUUCUCUUGAUGAGUCAUUUUUGCUCUUCCUCAUUCCCUUCUUGAUGUUCAAGUAGGUGAACGUGAUGACUAUAAAAGGCAAGCAAUUAAUAUCUGGGGUUAGGCAGAGCUCUGUAAGCCAAUCUCCAAGAAUGUGCAAGCUCCUUUGUCCUUAACUGUAACCUUGGCACAUGAAAAGCAACUUCCAUUCCGUUUUACCAACAUUUCGGUCAAAGAUCAAUUGCCAUUGUAAUUAUAUCAUAUAUCACAGGAUGGGGAAUCAGUGAGAGGGCAGGCCCUUUAAACUAAUACAUAUCAUUAGCAUUUAAAGAACAUGAAAAACAAAUUGAACAUUAGUCCUCAUGUAAGUCUUUUUUCUAGAGCAAAUAAUUUUCCAAAUUAAAAUGAAUAAAUUAAUGAAAUUGUCACAUGUCUGAGAAUAAACUAGGUUGGUAAUGCCGUCAAGCUCUUAGCAAAGUUUAGCUCAUUGUACUUCUCUGUCUGAUCAUUAUAACAUCUAAUCAAGGGGAGCUUAAAUACUUCAAUGAGCUCUCAAAAUAAAUUUGAUCUGAGCAGCUCAGGUCUCAUGGAUUCCUAGGGUUACUGACUGGGUGAAACAUGUUUUUGUUUUAAUCCCUGUCUCAGCUCAAAGAGGAUUAAUGCCCGUAAUUCUGCUAUCCCCAUUUAAUUGAGAAAUGAAAUUUGAAGAGGCACCUCCUGGAACACUCCACUUUGAAAUAUGACCCAUCCACUGUCUAUAUAAUAAAUCUUCCUCUGCUCUCACACACUUAUCCACAUCCUUCCUAUCCCAAAGAAGGAGGAAAGAAAGUUAUUGUGUGUGUGUGUGUGUGUGUGUGUGUGUGUGUGUUUCUGUGCAUCUAAUCCAAAACACACAAUGUUGUUGUUUUAUUUUUCAAUUUUGGAAUUAUCCUAAUAAAGGCAUUCUCUGGGAAGCUCAGACUGCAUCUCAAACCUUUCUCUGACACUAGCAUCCUCAUUGGAACAAAUAGCCCUUUCACUAAAAGCAAUACAGUUAUUGCAUUCAUGUUAUAUGAUGGUAAUUUUCACUUUUGCUUUCAAUACAACAUUAAAAGAAAAAUUGUCUAUAGGAAAGAAAGAGGCAAUAUACUAUAUCCUGGAACUAAUUCUUUGGCAUCUGUAAAAAAGGGGGCCAUAAUUCUGAAUAGAGGCUCCUGUCCUAAAACAGACCCAAUGCUAAGAUCUAAUAGAAAGGGCACAGAGAAGCAUAAGGAAACUUAAUGUCACUUUCACGUUUUUUGUACAAGUUGAUGUGAGGAUCUAAAGAGGCAAUUUCUGUAAAAUGCCUAGUAGAGGACCAGGCAUAUAGUAAGCCCUCAGCAAAUGCUGGCUGUUAUCAUUAUGUUUUAUAAAGAAUUUUUACAUCUUCCUCCUAAGCCCUGAGGCUUCAUAACGAAGCCUUAUAUAUGACUCUCAAUGGCUCAAUGUCUUUCCUAACCUAAUGUAGAAAGUGACAUACCAUUGCUUCCAACAUAACCUAUUGGUCACAUGGACCAACAUAAGACCAAUGUGGGAUGACCCUGUACAUAAGGGUAAGAAGCAGGCAUCACUUGGGGCCAUCUCAAAGGAAGGUGACCACAACUGCCUAAUGGCAGUUGAAUCCUUUAUCAAGCUACCCUCAGUAACACUUCAGCUUUCAAGGACCAGGUUUUUGUGACUAUUGUGAACAGGAUUUUAGUGAAUGAAGAUAUAUCCCAAAAUAACAUUUCACUUAAAAGUUGAAUAUCUGUUAUCAAUUUACAAAUGCUUUUAUGUUAUAUCUCACUUGAGCUUCAAAAUAACCUUUUAAGACAGACAAGAGUAGAAACUACUCCAGUGAUUUCAUAGAUAAGGAAACUGAAGAUCAGAGAGACUUAAUGAUUAACCUAAGAUUUAAACUAGAUAUCCUCCUAGCAUUCUCAUGGCACUUAUUCUGCUAGCGUAGGCUGCCUUGUAUAUUUUUUAAAUGACUAUCUGUUUAUGUGCUGGUCAUGGGGUUUGCAGCAAAUCACAAGUGUGUAAUUUUUUUUUCUUAAAGGCAUUUAAUCUACUUUCUAAAAAUCACUAGAAUUCAGAAACUGAUACUACUUCUUUUGUUUCAUUAUUUGCCUCCCUGCCCCCAACACUCAUACAUAUUUAGAGACACCCAUGGACACUCAUGAACACACAUAUUCUUCUUUCUAGUCCCUUAUCAAUGGCAAACUAAAGUUAUUUUAGAAUAUACUAGCUGUCAUUGUGCCACAGAGAAACCUCUCUUUCAUGCAAAUUGAUAUAUGUAUAUAAUCAUACAUGUUUAUAUAUAAACUUUGUAGCUUUCCUCCCUCUUUUCUAAAAUAAAUUAUGAAAGGUUGUAUGUUCAGGCUUCACGCAGAAUUUUUCAUUUGAGGGAGACUUUUUCAACCCUUUCUAUUUGAGUUGGUAGCCAUUUAUAUGAAGAGAAAAUGAAUACUAAUGGAAAAUCCUAGAGUGGAUUUGGAAAAUCAUUAUAACAGUUCUGCUAUAGGUUUGGGCCUUUGACAAACCACCUAUUCAAGGAUGAAAAAUCCACUAUUUCUCUUCUGCAUUUCUUUUUCCGAAUACAGCUAGAUUGAAUAACAGGCCAGAUAAAGGAUUCAGAACAAUUGCUUUACUAAGUAAUAGUGAGCCCAUGUUCUAACCAAUGGGACAGAAACUGACCCUCUGUAUCUCUGACACAGUUGCCUUUCAUUGACAGAUUUACAGUGGAGGGGUUGGGAGAGCAGAUGAAUUAAAAAAAAACAAAAGCAAAUCAAGAUCCCCCAUAAAUUUCACGAUCCCCACAUCUUCCACCUCAGCACCUAUUAGAACACCUUACUCUUAAAUUCUGCACAUGUGGAGAUUUAUUUGUAUCCCAGAGGUUUGCUCAGAUGUUUCCUCUGUGCUUUCAAUGCAGGCCCACCCUUUUCUUUCUUCAUAUUAAAACCAUAUAGAUUCUCCUUGAAGCCUUCUCAACUGGUAAUAAUCAUUUACAUCCUUGCUAGUGCUUAUGAUUUUCGAAUUACUUUUAGAUAAUCUAACUCAGCGAUCUCCACACAACCUUAGACACUUAGCCCGGCAAGUAUUGUGCUUUUGCUUUCAUGGAUGAGAAAAAGGAGACUUGGAGUGCUUUGAUUAGCAAACAAGGUUACAGAGCUAAAAAAGGAGUGACACUGGAGUAGAUCCCAGCUUAAAUGAAACCCACUGCUUUACCUGCCCCUAUAGCCUGCAUGAUAUUUCCCUAUUCUGAGUGCUUGGAGCUCUUGGAGUCUCUUACAUCUAAUGUGAUCAUUAAGAGGUACUAACUGUCUGAUUGCUUCUUGUGUGCAGCUAACUCACUGGUGACCCAGCACUUUGGGAGGAUGAGGAGGGUGGAUCACAAGGUCAGGAGUUCGAGACCAGCCUGGCCAACAUGAUGAAACCCCGUCUCUACUAAAAAUACAAAAAUUAGCCAGGCGUGGUGGCAUGCACCUGUAUUCCCAGCUACUUGGGACACUGAGGCAGGAGACUUGCUUGAACCCGGGAGGCAGAGGUUGCAGUGAGCCAAGAUCGUGCCACUGCACUCCAGCCUGGGCGACAGAGUGAGACUCCAUCUCAAAAAUAAGUAAAUGAAUAAAUAAAAAUAAAAUAGAUUGAGCCUCCACAUUUUGCAUGCAGCUUUCUUGGUGCUUGUCCUUCUCCUGUGCUUACUCAAAGAUGGGACAUUGUGCACAAUGAGAAGAGUAUUGGGACCAGUAAGGAAGAAUGAGUCAGAUAUUGUGGGACCUCUUUUUUUGUUGUUUUUUUUUGCUCCCAGAAAUCUUUGAGGUAAGUAACAUAGUCAAUUGAGGUCUGGAGUUAUGUACUCCAUUUAUUCAUUUUUUCUUAACAUAGUCCCUCCUUACUAUGUGAUAUUCUCUGUCCUAGACCUUGAAAAUACAAGUUAAAUAUGGCAUAUUCUUUACCUCUAUGAGCUUAAAAUUGAGUGGGGAAAGUUUCAUUUUUUCUUUGAAAUGAAAACAAACUUAAGUACCGAUAUGCAUGAGAAAAAUAAAUUGUUCAUUUCUUUACCUACAUCUCAUCAGGAGUAAACACAUUCUCUCUCUGGCUAAGCCAAAUAUACCAUAAAUCCCUCCUAAAAAAAUACCCUGAAAUUGAGAAUCCAAUUUUAAUGGCUAAAUUAUAUUUACCUUGAACUGAGCAUUUUCUAUUAGGAUUUACGUAUGCAUCUUGGGGAUUCUGAAUGUUGGACUUUUUUUUCUUUUUUCUUUUAGAUUUUAACCUGAAUGGAAAAGACAAUAUGAGGGUGAUGAAAGACUCUAGAUGGUCCGUCUUGGGGAGAAGGUUUUGCCGUCUUGCCCCAGUUGGUCUCGAACUCCCGGGCUCAAGCAAUCCACCUGCCUUGGCCUCCCAAAGUGCUGGGAUUACAGACGUGAGCCACCAUACCCUGUCCAGUUUGGAAAUUUCUUACAAAGCUAAACCUAGUCUUAGAAUACAUUCCUGCAAUUGUUCUCUUAGGCUUUGAAAGAUGCUGGAAUAUAUGCCUGCUUGGCCAAUUAGUCCCCAAUAACUCUUCAGUGCCAUAGUACUGUGUGUAGAGAAAACCUCAAUGAAAAGAAAAUGGACAAUCAAGCUGGAUAAAAUACAUCCCUUAAAUGAGAACUACGCUAUGUGAAAAAAAAAUAGAAGAACAAGUCCUCAGCAAGUCAAUGAUCAUAAGAAAAACAGUUAUAUUGACUAGUUAUUUUGUGUGUUUGAUGUACAAUAUGGAGAAAUAUUAGUAGCCAAAUGAAUGUGACACAUUGACACAGAUGCAUUGUAAAUAUUAUGCUAUUGAGACCAUAGAUUCAGUUACAUUCCUCUGAUGAAUGUGGAUGCUUUCAUUUCCUGUUUUAGAAGGCAACUAACCUGAUUAAUAUCAAACUGCAAGCUCUGCCUUGUUUGCAGUAGGUGACUGCUCAAAUUGUAGUUAUUUUAGCCUCAGCUCUGAGAUAAUUUGUUUCUGUCCUGUUUUUCCCCCAACAAGUAUGGUUCAAGGUUCACAUACAGACUUGGCCAGAGUUCAUAUGCAGACUUUUAACUGCCUUCUUCCCAGGAUUUC
rnacentral:lncRNA from 1 species